GUGCUGAUCAGACAGGAUUUUCUGCUGCAUCAUGCACAGCUCUGAUCUGCCUCUGAAAUAGCAGCAGAACUCACAGAGCAAGAUUUCACAGAUACCUGAACCGCUCUGUACUUAUAAAUCAGACUGCAGCAGAAGUUCCAAGAAAUUGCAGAUCCUCUUUUGUUGCCAGUUCAGGGACAGGUGGUGGAGUAUCAGAGUGUUCUAUCUCAUUUCCCUUUGGGGAAGGAAGCCUCCUCUUGUGAGCUGGGAGUGGCUCACCUCCUCUGUGCUCACGGGGCUGAUACAGCAUCCCAGAAGCCUCCGCUUGUGCACUGGAAGAAGCUCACCUCCUCUGUGCUCAUGGGAGUGGAGGUACAGCACCCCUGAAGCCUCCUCUUGUGCACUGGGAGUGGCUCACUUCCUCUGUGCUUGCAGGG
rnacentral:lncRNA from 1 species